rnacentral:rRNA from 1 species
GGGUGAUCAGUGGCGAACGGGUGAGUAACACGUGAGCAACCUGCCCCUGGCUCUGGGACAACCACUGGAAACGGUGGCUAAUACCGGAUACGACCCGCNNNGGCAUCNNNUGUGGGUGGAAAGUUUUUCGGCUGGGGAUGGGCUCGCGGCCUAUCAGCUUGUUGGUGGGGUGAUGGCCUACCAAGGCGACGACGGGUAGCCGGCCUGAGAGGGCGACCGGCCACACUGGGACUGAGACACGGCCCAGACUCCUACGGGAGGCAGCAGUGGGGAAUAUUGCACAAUGGGCGAAAGCCUGAUGCAGCGACGCCGCGUGAGGGAUGACGGCCUUCGGG